GACGAACGCUGGCGGCGUGCUUAACACAUGCAAGUCGAACGGAAAGGCCCUGCUUUUGUGGGGUGCUCGAGUGGCGAACGGGUGAGUAACACGUGAGUAACCUGCCCUUGACUUUGGGAUAACUUCAGGAAACUGGGGCUAAUACCGGAUAGGAGCUCCUGCUGCAUGGUGGGGGUUGGAAAGUUUCGGCGGUUGGGGAUGGACUCGCGGCUUAUCAGCUUGUUGGUGGGGUAGUGGCUUACCAAGGCUUUGACGGGUAGCCGGCCUGAGAGGGUGACCGGCCACAUUGGGACUGAGAUACGGCCCAGACUCCUACGGGAGGCAGCAGUGGGGAAUAUCGCACAAUGGGCGGAAGCCUGAUGCAGCAACGCCGCGUGCGGGAUGACGGCCUUCGGGUUGUAAACCGCUUUCGCCUGUGACGAAGCGUGAGUGACGGUAAUGGGUAAAGAAGCACCGGCUAACUACGU
rnacentral:rRNA from 1 species